CCACGCGCCCGCCAGGACUGAGAUAAGCCCGCUACAUUACUAUUACUCAGACCAGAGGCACAAAGAAAACUAUAAGACAACGCGACUUUUACAAUUUUAUCAAGCUUAUAUAAAUUCGAGCAAACGACAAAGCGCCUUCAUUCUACAAUUAUAUUAGCAAGCUAGGACUAGGAUUAUUGUUAGGAUAUAAAUAUAAAUCGAGUGCCAAGACUGUAUGUGUGACUGUGAACUGCUGAACUGCUGGUGUGUUGUGCGAACUUGAAGUUACGUUGGUGCAAGUGUCUUAUUUGUGAAUCGCGAUCGAUGCGUGGCUGCGUCGUUCGCGUGUGCCGGUAGAGGGCGUAAUUCGGAGUCGGCAAGAUUGAGGUGGUGGCCGGGUGCGGGUGGGGCAGGCGCGCGCGCGUGCGGCCGCUGCACGCGCUGGGCCGCGCGGCCGGCAUGUUGGCGUCACAACGCUCACAGUCGUGUAACGAGGAGGGCGCGUUCUUCGGCGCGCGGGCGCUGCGUCGGCCGCGCGGCAAGGGCAGCGGCAGCCCGCCUUGCUAGGGGUACGCCAUGUCGCUGCGCAGCCUGCACCGGAGGCUCUCCUCCGCUAACAACACAUGCGAGGAUGGUGGAGGCGGCGCAGCGACAGGCACGGGAGGGCGCG